UUAUUCUUUGCCAAUAUUUUGAAGAUUUCCCAAUGAAUAAUUAUGCCACUUUCAAGAUUGGAAAAUUAGGUUACGAAAAGACUAGAUGCUCCUUGAGUUUGAAGUUAUCGUCGGUCUUCUUGAAGCGUCUAUUGAUGGAUGCUCCAUUUUGAAAAAGGAAAAUAUUGAUUCGAUGAUUCUAUUACAUUAUGAGGAAGAAAAAAU
rnacentral:lncRNA from 1 species